UAUCCCUCAAUAUUUUGUCUUUCAGUUUUAUAUAAGGUUCAUGUAAUUCAGUUCACUGACUCCAACAUACUGAAAUUAUAAUGUAGUUUUUGUUACGUUGUUGCUUAAAGUAGGAGAGCAGAUCAGAUUUAGCUAUUUUAUUGUGCAGUUUUGGAAACAAGACUGUCAGAUGACUUUAACUUACUGAAGACUAUGAAGGAAAGCAAUAGUUACAGGCAAGGCAAAAGCCACAUAAAUCUUUAGCAGGGCUGACUUCUACCCUAAAAUGUGUUGCCUGACUUUCCUUCCCUUGACUGUAGAAAUUGGGUUUGUCUAGAUUUUCUACAAUACAAGUUUGAGGCAUAGGAAUAAUUUCAUUACUUCUGAAUCUAAGUCACUUUCACACUUAAUUCUUCAUAAAAGUGUUUUCCGGGGUAUGACAAGAAUUAAAAUUUCUUAUGUUUGGACUCUUACAGUAAAGAGGUGGAAAAUAGAAUUAACUGCAACGAAAUGGUGUGUUAUGCAUCACUUUAGAAAUUAUUCUCUUUUUUUCUUUUAUUGAGCUACAGUUUUUCCUCAUGACUGACCUUCAGAUGAUUCUGAAUAUUACUUUCUGUCACAGAGCUUAGUAGACCAGUGUCUGGCCUUCCUAGGUUAUGAAACUACAAAUUGACAUUCCUAAGGCUUAUGGAUGAGGUCAUGAAGGUCUUUUAAUGGAGACUUACAAAUUGAAUAGUCAAAAUUUGCUAUCUGAAAGUUAGCAUCCACCUAUAAUCAAAGUCCAUUUGUGCUCUGGCCUUGAUAAUUUUAGUGAUGGCUUAUUAUGAGCUGAUUUUAGCAGGUAUCUGUAUUCCAUAAAAGGCAAUACUAUUAGAAAAUUGAGCAACAUAAGAAAUAUAUAGUCAUCAACUUUUCAUGAAGUUCCUUGAAAUAUAUCAAGUCAGCUGUUCAAGAAAUGUUAUAUUUUAAUGGCAUACUGAGAGACUGUGUCAACUAUUACAACACCACUAUCAUGUUCUUGCACAAAAUGACAAUGAACAGAAAGUAUAUCAGAUGGUACUUUCUCUUUAUAGUUAGAAAUCGAUUUUAAGAGACAAUGGAGCAAGUGGUUAUAAGUAUAAAAUUUAGAGGAGGGUAAGUGGGAAUAUUUCAAAUGAUUAUUUUUCUGACCCAGGAUAUUAUUUGAUCACAAAAUGGGGUAGAAUAUAGAUUCACCAAAGGAACAAUCAGUUAUCGACUAAAUCAGGUGAAAUAGCAUAAAGACACAAUUAUAGGCAUGAACAUUGCAUGCCAGGGGUCAGAGAGACAUUCAGACACUCAGAGGCAGAGGAGAACACAUGUCGUGCGAUUGGGGGGGUGAGGAUAAAGACAUAGAUUUAUGAAAGACUUCUCAGAACUGUAUAGUGAGCCCCAUGAAGAAUAAAUAUUGUUUAUGUUUCUAAGCAAUGGAAUUAGAAAAUGACAUCAUUCUUCUGCAAAGAUUAAUCAUAUCUGUGUCCUAAAAUGAUUGAAAGGGGAUAGAGGUGAGAAUUGGAAUUAAUAUUCACAGAUUUCAACUGAACUAAUGCUGAGAAAGAAAAGAGGAUGGAGAGGAAAGUAUAAAUAUGAGACAUUUUGAAAGAAGGCGCAGUCGAGCCUUACCAUAUAGCUAAAGAAAAUGGAAGUGAAAACACAGUCAGCAAUAUGCCAGCCUUACAAAUGGCUAAAUAUCUCUAAUGAGUAAUAAAAUGCUCACCAUGUUUUCUUAGCUCUGCCACCUUGAUGUUCAAUGAAUUUAUUCAUUGAAAGGCAAUGUGUCACUGCCAAGCUAGUGUGUAGGAGGCCACCAGGUAACAGGGAAGUGAUCUUUCCUGACACUGCUCUCACACACAGGAGCAUACACCUAUUACACACACAGGGUCCCCUGGGUGGCUGCAAAACAGGGAUUGAUGUGUUUUCAUUAUGUUGGGAAGAAUUUCAGUUUCCCAAAACUUAUUCUGUUAUUCAUUUACAAAAUCCCUUCUUUCAGUUUCAUGUCAUAUUUCAUCUCUCCUAACAGCUGCCAUUCUCCAAUCUUCUAUUAGACUCAGAAAAGUCUGAAGCAUUGAUACCUAAAUCAUUGGUUCCUCUGUAUGCCAUGAUCAGACAAAAGGAACUAGGGUCUGCCUCCGAAAUCUGAAAUCUAGUGUUUUGUAAGACCACAAUCUCUAAUUCUCUUCAUCUCCCUUACACCUGUGGUCCUCUUUGAUAAUGUCUCAGUAACCACCAGCCAUUUCUUCCUUCAAUAAAAGCACUUCAUAAACAACUGAUGCCCUUCAUUUUCUUGCAAAUCUCCUCUCAUGUCAACAAAGCCAGGCUACAAUCCUGAAUAUAUGCCACAAUCUACCACCUCCCUUUACCUAUUUGGGAUAUACUCUGAGAACAGCCAUGAUUGUUAACCUUAGUUCCUCAAAUCUACUUUCAGUAUGUCCACUCGAUGUCUGAAAACUAAUGUCAGUCUGCCACUUCCUUAAAUAUCUAUUAAUGAUUGCUGUGACUCCUGUGUAUAUUCGUGUUUCUUUUCACUGAAACAUGAAGGGUUAAAUCUAAUCCCUUACUUAACUAGAAAGCAGCUCUUACACUCCACCUUCUUCCAAUUUCCUCUAACAUUUUUUACUUCUCUUUUCUUCACCAGUGCCCCUCUGCUCUACCCUUGUGCAAUAUGCAAUUCUUCUUGAAUAACAGUGUCUAGAAGUUUUCCAGAUUGAGUAUUGUAAUCUGAGAAUUACAGAAAGAUUUAGAACUUGAAAACUUUGCUCCCUUGUUUAAGAAAGAAAGCAUAUGUAAAAACUCAAAACCAACCAAACAGAAAAUAAGUAAGGCUGUACUCAUUAAAAACACUUUCCUGGAAAGAGGACAGCAGAGUACUACCCUGGAAAAGCAAGGACCUUGAGCGUUUUUGGAUGGAUGAGUACCUAAACAUCAACUUGAAACUCCAAGAAGACCAUAUGGGAAUAAUGCCUAAAUUGUUUAUUCAAUGCUUUAAACACAGUUAUUUUUGUCAUCUUUAAUGUAUCUACUUUGUUUAAUAGCAGCAUUUAGUCAUUGUUCUUCACUGGCUAAGGCAUAUAAUGUGCUGUCUCGUGUAACCAAGUGUCAUUAGAAGCAAAAUCUUCAAUAUCUAAUUUACUAAAUCUAAUUUUGCAGUUUUCAAUCUGAAAUGCAAAUUUAUAAAUUUAUAAACAUUUCACUUGGUGAAAUUUCAUAGAAAGGUUUUAAAAUCAAAUCUUUUUUUUUCCUUUGCUAAGUAGGAUGAAACUGAUUGUUCUGUGUCUUGUGGAGUUUGAGCUCCUAAACAAAAAUUCAGUGAGAGGAUUCUAGAACUCUUUGGUAUAUAAGAAAGGUACUUGCUUCAUGGGAAAUUUUCCUCAGACUCAGCCCUUGUGGAUUAUCCUUUAAAAUGCUUUCAUCACUUUUGCCUUGCUGCCUUCGAUUGCAAUGAGCCUAACCCUUGAAUGUUGCUGAAUUUAUAGCUCUGUAAAACAAACUCUUCUGGCAUUUCCUACACACAAUUGGGUUUCUUAGCUGCUCAAAAGAUUUGAGCUACAGUAGUUUGUUUCAUUAUUAAAGACAUAUGAUGCCUGUUGAACAGAUUUCCCCUUGGGCAACAGAGCUGAUAAAAGAAUAAAGAAUUUCAAGAAUCUGUAUCUCAAAAAUAAAUCCCAAGGUAUCUUUUACUUUUUUUUGACUUGGGGGGAAGCUUACAAAAUAAUUUCCAUUUUUAUUUAGCUUUGUACUUAUUAUGGAGCUGUGGGAGAACACAGCAUUUACCAGAUGAAAUUGUGCCAUUUGAAAUAAACAUGUGUUAUUUUAACUUUUGGCCUACAUUUGAUGACAAUAAUGAGACCUUCCUAAAAAUGAGAACCUGAAGUCAGCCCUAAUCGGAACCAUGAUUGCAGUUAGUAUAAUUCCAAAGGAAGCGAAUGUGGCUACUCUUCAAUGUUUCAUACUCCUUCCUUGAACAUAGUCUUUACAUUAGGUAAUAUUUUGUGUGUGUGUGGUCACUUGUUUUAAUGGUCACAUCUUACAUUCACCAUAAUGCUUUAAUGUCAGUCCUGUGGUUCUGUGAUCUUAGUGUCAUAGUAUUAAAUCUAUCAGACUGCUCAGCCCUUUGCAAGCAACUGAGAGACAAAGACUGCAAACUACAAUGAAGUACUGCAUAUUUGUUUGCCCAAGGAAAAAGCCAAUCCUAAUUUAGAUGUGCUUCUAUUUACUAGGCUACUUGGCUUUCCAUGGGCACAUUAAAUGACCAAGAGACUCCAUUUGUUAUUGAAAAGGACAGGAGCUGAAAUGAAAAGGGUUAAUUUGCAAAGGUAGGACAUCUGUUAGAAAUCAGCCCAGAAGCAGGAGCUGGCUGUAUUCCAAGAGUGGUUUUUCAUCUGCCAUGGAGUUGGCCAUUGACAGUUAAACUUGGAUCUAAACUUCACAAGGCAGAAAAACACAUUCUUGAAUUUAACAUUUAGUUCUUUUAGCUAUCCAAGCUGAAGGUGCUAGAGCUAUACAAAAAAAAAAUGCAGUAGC